UUGUUGCAGGACUUCUUUAACGGGAGGGAACUCUGUAAGAGCAUCAACCCGGACGAGGCUGUUGCUUAUGGAGCUGCUGUGCAAGCUGCAAUCUUGAGUGGUGAAGGGAAUGAGAAAGUUCAGGACCUUCUGCUGUUGGAUGUUACACCUCUUUCCCUUGGUCUGGAGACUGCUGGAGGUGUUAUGACCACCUUGAUUCCAAGGAACACCACGAUUCCGACUAAGAAAGAGCAGGUGUUUUCGACCUACUCCGACAAUCAACCUGGUGUGUUGAUUCAAGUUUAUGAAGGUGAAAGAGCCAGGACCAGAGAUAACAACUUGCUGGGUAAGUUUGAGCUCACUGGCAUUCCUCCAGCACCAAGAGGUGUCCCCCAAAUCACUGUAUGCUUCGACAUUGAUGCAAAUGGUAUUCUAAAUGUCUCUGCUGAGGAUAAAACAACUGGUCAGAAAAACAAGAUCACCAUCACCAAUGACAAAGGAAGACUGUCUAAAGAUGAGAUUGAGAA
rnacentral:lncRNA from 1 species